rnacentral:pre_miRNA from 1 species
CAAAUACUCCCUCCUUCCGAAAAUACUUGUCAUCAAAAUGGAUAAAAGGAAAUGUAUCUAGAUGUAUUUUAGUGUUAGAUACAUCUCUUUUUAUCCAUUUUGAUGACAAGUAUUUUCGGACGGAGGGAGUAGAAA